GAUGAACGCUGGCGGCGUGCCUAAUACAUGCAAGUCGAACGCUGGAAAUCUAGCUUGCUAGAUUGAAGGAGUGGCGAACGGGUGAGUAAUACAUAAGCAACCUACCCACGAAGACUGGGAUAAUCCCUGGAAACGGGGACUAAUACCGGAUAGGUAAUCGGAAGGCAUCUUCUGAUUAUUAAAGGUUAAAAACACUGGUGGAUGGGCUUAUGGCGCAUUAGUUAGUUGGUGAGGUAACGGCCCACCAAGACGAUGAUGCGUAGCCGGCCUGAGAGGGUGAACGGCCACAUUGGGACUGAGACACGGCCCAGACUCCUACGGGAGGCAGCAGUAGGGAAUUUUCGGCAAUGGGGGAAACCCUGACCGAGCAACGCCGCGUGAGUGAUGACGGCCUUCGGGUUGUAAAGCUCUGUUGUAAGGGAAGAACGGUAGAUAGAGAAUAUCUAAAUGACGGUACCUUACCAGAAAGCCACGGCUAACUACGUG
rnacentral:rRNA from 1 species